UAUUGAGUAUCUUAAAAAUUUAAAGUAAUGAUUUUUUAAAUCAUUUAUAGUAAUGUGUUACUCUUAAUA
rnacentral:tRNA from 1 species